AUGGAGAAAGAUGAAGAUUUUUUCUUUCUAUCGCAUAUUUGUUUUUAAAAUGUACUCUGUAUUUGUGUGUGUGUGCGUGUUUGCGCUAUUUAUUGAUAAUUGUAAAUCAGGAGAAAUGUGUAUGUUCUGACAGACAUUUCAGGUGCUGGCAAAAACCCUACAGGCCUACAAGGAAUUGCCCAUGCUGUAUUAUGCUGGCAAGUGCUCACGCUCUUUUGACGACAGUGAUGGUCAAGAAAUCCAGAGAAAAGAAAAAAAACAAGGAUAGUGAUAUGAAGAUUUGGAUAUCCAGGUCUCGGUGAAGUUCUAAUGACAUUUGGCGCCACAAGAUGGCAGUGUAAGCGCGGGAAAGGGAAAGGAAGUCCUUUUUGAGACAUU